rnacentral:rRNA from 1 species
AGAUUGAACGCUGGCGGCAUGCCUUACACAUGCAAGUCGAACGGCAGCACGGGAGCAAUCCCGGUGGCGAGUGGCGAACGGGUGAGUAAUAUAUCGGAACGUGCCCAGUCGUGGGGGGAUAACGUAGAGAAAUUUGCGCUAAUACCGCAUACGAUCCAAGGAUGAAAGCGGGGGACCGUAAGGCCUCGCGCGACUGGAGCGGCUGAUAUCAGAUUAGCUUGUUGGUGAGGUAAAAGCUCACCAAGGCGACGAUCUGUAGCUGGUUUGAGAGAACGACCAGCCACACUGGGACUGAGACACGGCCCAGACUCCGUACGGGAGCAGCGAGGUGGGGUAAUUUUGGAGAAGUUGGGGACGAAAA